GGUUAUGGAAAAGGGGUAUGUGGAGCAUCCCAGUGGACAGCAGCUAAAGAGUCGUCAAGGAAAACAAAAGACAAACCUGAUGAAGAGGGACUCACAGUUGCUGUUUGCCGCCACGAAUACUUCUGAGGAGCCUCAACAUGAUGCGUAGAGAGAUCUUUGCGUACCCACUGUUCUUGCAGAAGGAAUUGUCUGGCAGCAGGAACAUACAAUUCAUGUGUACGGAUGUGAUCUGCAACUUUUGGCCAUACUUAACCAAACAGAACCUCUACCGUCAGACAGGUUUGUUAAACUUCAUGAAUAUUGAAUUGCACACACUUCAUUUCUCUUUCAUUUCAAAGUCAUGAAAUGUAACAAAUAAUUCCAUUCUCCUUGUAUUGAUGGCAGAUGGAUGCAAGAAAAGAUACCAUCUGCACAGAAAGAUAUUUGAAGAAAAGGCCAAAUUGACAGCUGCCAUGGAGUACAACACCCUUGUACCAGAUUCAGCAAUACCAUCUGCAGAUGAGAUCCUUUCCCCAGACCUUCAUGCAUGACCUUGGGAGCUGCAUGGACAAAGUAAGUAGUAUGUUUGUGUGUCACAAUAACUAUGUUUCUGUUUUGCUAUCUGUGUUUGUUCAGUUGCGCAAAUACAGACAGCACUGCCAUUAAAGUUACAAAUCCACAUUGCAUUCUUAUGAAUUUACAGCUGACCUACUCACAAAGAAAAUAGCCUUUGACCGGGUGAUGCUCCUGAGACAGCUGAAGGAGGAGGAGUUAAUUGUCCUAAAGGAAGUCAAGCAGCACUGGGAAAGCCUAAAGAGGGAAUCGGAGAAUGUGCAAGACCUUGCUUCACAUGUGGCACCUGACCUAAGCAGGCAAAGCUGGCAAUUGAAUCAGUCGGAAGCUGGGAGCAGAGGUCUCUUCUCCAUGCUUCAGAGGAGAGUCAGCAGCCUCAGAAGACACCAGGACUCUGUCAAACUGAUAUACAGCAAAGCUAUGGGCCAAGACACCUCCCUCCUAGAAAAUAACUUCAUAGAUGACCUCCUGGAAGAGGACCUAGAUGACAUCUAUGACAGCAUCCACUACAGCUCUGAUGACGAGGAAUCUAUCACAGACUGAAGGUGUUCGUUUGGGUGGGUGCAGUUUGCACUGGGUGAAAAGUGAUUCCAUUUGUUUUGCAUAUGUGCUUUAUCUGCCUUCCAAAGGAAAAAUAGUUUGAACAUUUUAUGGAAAAUAAACUUAUGUUUCUUCCUUGUUGACAAUGUGAUCAUGUGACACAGAUUUGAGAAGGGCGCUCGUCUGUUACUGCUUUUGCCCGGUUACAUGACCAGGUCCGAUGCACCCCUUUAAAUGGCCAGUCUGCAGUUGCUACAUCCACUUUUGGAUUCUUGAAGAAUAUAAUUUAUAAAUGCCUCAUGAACAUAGUUCAACUGCCGUACCCCAUCAGAUCUCAAUAUAUAUAUAUAUAUAUAUAUAUAUUUACUCCAAUGUGUGUAAACAAAGUAAAUGUAAACAUACACUAGCAUGUGUGAAACUCAUUCCACGGGUGAGCCGAGUGUCUGCAGGUUUUCGCUCCUCCCUUGAUUGAUGAAUUAAGGUCACUAAUUAGUAAGGAACUCCCCUCACCUGGUUGUCUAGGUCUUAAUUGAAAGGAAAAAACUAAAACCAGCAGACACUAGGCUCUCAUUGGAAUGAGAUUGACAUCAAUGGACUAUAGCCUGGAAACAUGGUUUAAACUAUGGUUACAUUUCUCCAGCCCCAUCCCUCUGCUUUUUACAGAACCAUUGGCGGGGAGAACGAUUUAUUGUUUCACCUGCUGAUUUCAGAUUUAAACAUUGUUAAACUGUAAUGUACUGUGCUCGUGUGCUUAUUAGUUUAGUUAAUAAAAAACUAAAACAGGUUAUCCUUGUCUUCAAGUAAUCAUUUGCAUCCUGAUGGAGCUACAUCAGUACAUUAGUCAUGGGCUUUUAAGUCAACAAUUACUUAUGUAUGUAUGAGAUGUACAAAUGCUUACCUAGUACUGAGUACUUUGACCAGUUACUACUUUACUCUCGUAGUUUUCGAGAGGGCUACUUUACUUGUACUUGAGUACAAG
rnacentral:lncRNA from 8 species